rnacentral:rRNA from 1 species
ACGGAGGAUCCGAGCGUUAUCCGGAUUUAUUGGGUUUAAAGGGUGCGUAGGUGGAUUGUUAAGUCAGUGGUGAAAGUUUUCAGCUCAACUGAAAAAUUGCCGUUGAAACUGUCGAUCUUGAGUGCAAAUGAGGUAGGCGGAAUGUGUUGUGUAGCGGUGAAAUGCUUAGAUAUAACACAGAACUCCGAUUGCGAAGGCAGCUUACUGGGAUGCAACUGACACUGAUGCACGAAAGCGUGGGUAUCAAACAG